CCUACGGGUGGCAGCAGUGAGGAAUAUUGGUCAAUGGGAGGAAUCCUGAACCAGCCAUGUCGCGUGCAGGACGACGGCCCUACGAGUUGUAAACUGCUUUUGUAUGGGGGUAAAAUGCGCUAUGCGUACGCUCUUGUAUGUACGGUACGAAUAAGGAUCGGCCAACUCCGUGCCAGCAGCCGCGGUAAUACGGAGGAUCCGAGCGUUAUCCGGAUUUAUUGGGUUUAAAGGGUGCGUAGGUGGUUUUAUAAGUUAGCGGUGAAAUCCCGAGGCUCAACCGCGGGGCUGCCGUUGAUACUGUAGGACUAGAGAGCGGAUGAGGCAGGCGGAAUGCGUGGUGUAGCGGUGAAAUGCAUAGAGAUUACGCAGAACACCGAUUGCGAAGGCAGCUUGCUGGGCCGGAUCUGACACUGAUGCACGAAAGCGUGGGGAUCGAACAGGAUUAGAUACCCUUGUAGUC
rnacentral:rRNA from 1 species